rnacentral:rRNA from 1 species
GAUGAACGCUGGCGGCGUGCCUAAUACAUGCAAGUCGAGCGAGCAGACGAGGUGCUUGCUCCUCUGACGUUAGCGGCGGACGUGUGAGUAACACGUGGGUAACCUACCUAUAAGACUGGGAUUACUUCGGGAAACCGGAUCUAAUACCGUAUAAUAUAUUGAACCGCAUGGUUCCAUAGUGAAAGACGCUUUUGCUGUCACUUAUAGAUGGAUCCGCGCCGCAUUAGCUAGUUGGUAAGGUAACGGCUUACCAAGGCGACGAUGCGUAGCCGACCUGGGAGCGUGCUCGGUCACAGUAGAACUGAGACCCCGUCCCGUGUCCCACGGGAGGCACACGUCGGGAACCUUCCGACCUGCGCGCCAGCUUGACGCACCACUCCCGCGCCAGUGAUCUGGGCCUUCGGAUCGUAGAACUCCGUUAUUCGGGAAAAACACCUGUGUCAGUCACUAUGCACGUCUUGCCGGCACCUAAACAGAAAGCCACGGCCACACACGUG